UACGAAGGGGGCUAGCGUUGCUCGGAAUCACUGGGCGUAAAGGGUGCGUAGGCGGGCUUUUAAGUCAGGGGUGAAAUCCUGGAGCUCAACUCCAGAACUGCCUUUGAUACUGAGAAUCUUGAGUACGGGAGAGGUGAGUGGAACUGCGAGUGUAGAGGUGAAAUUCGUAGAUAUUCGCAAGAACACCAGUGGCGAAGGCGGCUCACUGGCCCGUAACUGACGCUGAGGAGCGAAAGCGUGGGGAGCAAACAGG
rnacentral:rRNA from 1 species